rnacentral:lncRNA from 1 species
AGAUGUACAUUGGUUCCAUCCAGAAAGGAGGGACAACUCAAGAAAGGAGGGGGCUUCCAGGUCACAGUGGGUGAGUAGGUGGCCUUUUGUGAUCUCCUACAUCCUGAAACUGAGACUCCUUCGGUUUCUUCUAGAGUCAGUUUGGUAAGCUAUAUUUUUUAAGAAUUUGCUGAUUUAUUCAGUUAUUAUAACUGAAUUCAAUUUAUUCAGUUAAAGUUGGUUGGAAUAAUAUCCAAACCCUUUCAUUUUUAAAGUAUCUAAUAUUGCUUACUUGUAUCUAAUAUUGC